CGUUGACAAACCUUUUUCCUUACAAUCACCGAAGUUAAGCAACGUCGAGUCCGUGUAAUAUCAAGAUGGGCGAUCGCUUGGGAAUACCAGGUGUUGCAAGC